AGCGAACGCUGGCGGCAGGCCUAACACAUGCAAGUCGAACGAACUCUUCGGAGUUAGUGGCGGACGGGUGAGUAACACGUGGGAACGUGCCUUUAGGUUCGGAAUAACUUAGGGAAACUUGUGCUAAUACCGAAUGUGCCCUUCGGGGGAAAGAUUUAUCGCCUUUAGAGCGGCCCGCGUCUGAUUAGCUAGUUGGUGAGGUAAAGGCUCACCAAGGCGACGAUCAGUAGCUGGUCUGAGAGGAUGAUCAGCCACAUUGGGACUGAGACACGGCCCAAACUCCUACGGGAGGCAGCAGUGGGGAAUCUUGCGCAAUGGGCGAAAGCCUGACGCAGCCAUGCCGCGUGAAUGAUGAAGGUCUUAGGAUUGUAAAAUUCUUUCACCGGGGACGAUAAUGACGGUACCCGGAGAAGAAGCCCCGGCUAACUUCGUG
rnacentral:rRNA from 1 species